GACAGAGGGUGCAAACGUUGCUCGGAAUCACUGGGCGUAAAGGGCGUGUAGGCGGGCAGGUAAGUCAGAUGUGAAAUCCCUGGGCUCAACCCAGGAACUGCAUUUGAAACUCCCUUUCUUGAGUGUCGGAGAGGAAAGUGGAAUUCCUGGUGUAGAGGUGAAAUUCGUAGAUAUCAGGAGGAACACCGGUGGCGAAGGCGGCUUUCUGGACGACAACUGACGCUGAGACGCGAAAGCGUGGGGAGCAAACAGG
rnacentral:rRNA from 1 species